UACAGGGGGGGCAAGCGUUGUUCGGAAUUACUGGGCGUAAAGGGCGCGUAGGCGGCCCGCUAAGUCGAACGUGAAAUCCCCGGGCUCAACCCGGGAACUGCGUCCGAUACUGGCAGGCUUGAAUCCGGGAGAGGGAUGCGGAAUUCCAGGUGUAGCGGUGAAAUGCGUAGAUAUCUGGAGGAACACCGGUGGCGAAGGCGGCAUCCUGGACCGGCAUUGACGCUGAUGAGCGAAAGCUAGGGGAGCAAACGGGG
rnacentral:rRNA from 1 species